AAUCAACGCUGGCGGCGUGCCUAACACAUGCAAGUCGAACGAGAAAGUGGAGCAAUCCAUGAGUAAAGUGGCGACCGGGUGAGUAACACGUGACUAACCUGCCCUAGAGUGGGGGAUAACCUCGGGAAACCGGGGCUAAUACCGCAUAACAUCGCGAGGGGAAGAUCCUUGCGAUCAAAGGAGCAAUUCGCUCAAGGAGGGGGUCGCGGCUGAUUAACUAGUUGGGGAGGUAACGGCUAACCGAGGGGAAGAUCAGAAGCCGGCCUGAGAGGGCGCAAGGCAAGCCGGGAACUGAUACUCGGUCCAGACUCCUCGGGGGGGCAGCAGUGGGGAAUUUGGCGAAGUGGGGGAAACCCUGCCGCAGCAACGCCGCGUGGAGGAUGAAGCCCCUUGGGAUGUAAACUCCUUUCGAUCGGGACGAUAAUGACGGUACCGGAAGAAGAAGCACCGGCUAACUCUGGGCCAGCAGCCGCCGUAAGAC
rnacentral:rRNA from 1 species